AACGCGAAGAACCUUACCAAGGCUUGACAUGCCGAGGACGGCCGGUGAAAGCCGGUUUCCCCGCAAGGGGUCUCGGUGCAGAUGCUGCAUGGCUGUCGUCAGCUCGUGCCGUGAGAUGUUGGGUUAAGUCCCGCAACGAGCGCAACCCUUGUUCUUAGUUGCCAGCAUUUAGUUGGGCACUCUAAGGAGACUGCCGGUGACAAACCGGAGGAAGGUGGGGAUGACGUCAAAUCAUCAUGCCCCUUAUGACCUGGGCUACACACGUGCUACAAUGGAUGGUACAAAGGGCUGCAAGACCGCGAGGUUUAGCCAAUCCCAUAAAACCAUUCUCAGUUCGGAUUGUAGGCUGCAACUCGCCUACAUGAAGCCGGAAUCGCUAGUAAUCGCGGAUCAGCAUGCCGCGGUGAAUACGUUCCCGGGCCUUGUACACACCGCUAGUC
rnacentral:rRNA from 1 species